CCGGACGAACGGCGUGUAGGGGAUUAAUACCCAAGGGACGGGGUUGAAACGAGGAGGCAGAAACGCAGCGGACCCUCGGUAUCCCCAGCAGCUGCCAGGGUAGCGGCAGGUGUUCCGCCACGGGCAAGUCAAGGUACCGUUGACAUCACUGCAGAGAAGUUGUGGGAGCUUGGAAUCGGCGUGGCACAGGUGAUGAAGGUGAAUGUGGUGACCCAAGGAAGAUCAGAGAGCGUGUGGCUGUCAUUGCAGAUGUCUCUUCAGUAGAGAUAGUGACCCUGAGAACUCUAAAAGCUAAGUUGAGGGGAGAAGAGUGUUGGAGUGUCUUGGCUGUGUGUGUAUGCCCGCUGAUGUUCAGUGCAGUGUGGAGGGCUCUUCUGGUGAGUGCUGUGUGUGAGGCAGGUGCAGUGGAGGGUGGAUGGGAGGAAGCGAGAGUGAGCUAGUCAGGGCAGCUCCAGCCUGUGUCUAUGUUCGUGUGUAGUUUGUGUUGUGUGUUUAGCUCUGCUACCUUUUGUUCAGGUCUUGAUGUCACUUUUGUCCUUUGCGCUCAAGGAGCAUGGUCCACAAUGUGCAGCAGUAGCGUGGUAGGCAUCCGUUGCCUUUUGCCUGGCGUGACUAUUCGGCAUCAUGGUGACAGAUUGCCUCUCAUUCCAUGUGGCCAGCUAAAAGGGGCGGUCUGUCACUCCAGCUUUGCGUCGUAGCCAUUUGCGGCCAGUCAUCUUUGCCAUCGUCAAGGCAUCAUCGACCACUCUUGUUUUGCGUCUUUGUGACGUCCUUUCAGGGUUUUCUUCCCUGCGUCAUCGCCGCAUCGAAUCUUUCUCGCCGACCUUUCUUGCGUCGAUCUUUCUGGCUUUGCCAGAGUUCUUGCCAUCAGAAGUCGUGGCACUUGGUUCUUUACUGGUCUUGUGCAGAGCAUCAGAGCUGUGCGGUUGUGAUGUUGUAGAGCUUUCUAGCCCACAGCAUCUUAUGUGUGGGAGUAGUUCUUUUUGUGUAGGGCUUUCCUGCGUGUUUGUGUCUAAUGUUUCUUAUCUGUCUGUUUAGUGCUGGAGCUGCCUUGCGUGUGGGUGUUAGCAACGGUAGUGUGUAGAGCGUGUCAGUGAUGGACCGGAGCGGCAAUCGAUCGGCCUCCUUGUGUUCUGCUUUGAUUUGUUGCAGAUACGCAGCGGCUUUCCCGGCGGGCUGAAGAGAGAUGGAGGAAGAAAGGGUUGUGCUAUAAGAAGAUGAGCUAGAGUUGUUUUUGGAAGGAGAGCGGUGUGGUCAACAGUUCCCUUGUUAACUUUUGCUUUGUGCUUGUAGGUGUGGAACAAUGUGCAGUGAGGGUCCCUCUCACCUGGCAGGAGCGUGGUGAGGCAAGCGUCAAUCCGAGAGAGGAAGCGGCACCUAGUAUAGAGCUGUCGUCUUGUCGGCGCCGUCCCCGUUGCCCACUGCUGUUCUGAUUUUACAGGUGUGUGGCACGCCUCGGCACGGCAACCCGUAGGCUGGCGGUCAGGAUGGGCAAGCGGAGCAGGAAGUUGUGGAGAGGAGAAUGUGAGCGGCAACAAGAAGGCUGAGCAGUGCUGGAGCUGCCUUGCGUGUGGGUGUUAGCAACGGUAGUGUGUAGAGCGUGUCAGUGAUGGACCGGAGCGGCAAUCGAUCGGCCUCCUUGUGUUCUGCUUUGAUUUGUUGCAGAUAUGCAGCGGCUUUCCCGGCGGGCUGAAGAGAGAUGGAGGAAGAAAGGGUUGUGCUAUAAGAAGAUGAGCUAGAGUUGUUUUUGGAAGGAGAGCGGUGUGGUCAACAGUUCCCUUGUUAACUUUUGCUUUGUGCUUGUAGGUGUGGAACAAUGUGCAGUGAGGGUCCCUCUCACCUGGCAGGAGCGUGGUGAGGCAAGCGUCAAUCCGAGAGAGGAAGCGGCACCUAGUAUAGAGCUGUCGUCUUGUCGGCGCCGUCCCCGUUGCCCACUGCUGUUCUGAUUUUACAGGUGUGUGGCACGCCUCGGCACGGCAACCCGUAGGCUGGCGGUCAGGAUGGGCAAGCGGAGCAGUCUUUUCUCCGGUUUUGCAGGAAGUUGUGGAGAGGAGAAUGUGAGCGGCAACAAGAAGGCUGAGCAGGUACUGUGUGGGCUUUUCCCAGGAAUGUUUCAGUGUUUGAGGUUAGGUAGAAUGGGUGCCAUGGGUGUUCUCGCAGCCACUAUGGAGCGUGGAAUCGGUGCGGUGCAGGUGAGCAGAGCAAUUAUAACAAUUGCGGGGAGGGUGCCGUCGCAGAAGAGGCCGGAGCCGACCGGCACAGCGGUGACCGCUCGCGCUCCAGUUUGGCAAGCGACGAAGGCGAACGUGGCGACUGAAGGAAGAUCGGAGAGGAUGCAACCGUUAUCGAGGCUGACUCGUGAGGACAGACGGUGAUUCGCAGUACUCCAAAAACGAAAUUGAGGGGCAAAGAGUGCGUGUGGGGUGUAUAUGUGCACACUGACAUUCAGCAUAGUGUGGAGGAUUCUUCUGGUGUUUCCUGUGUGAGGCAAGUGCAGCAGAGGGUGUAUGGGAGAAAGCCAGGGUGUGCUAGGCAGGGCAGCUGCAGCUUGUGUCUGUGUUGUGUGUAGCUGUGAUACUUUUUUUUUCCUCAGGUCUUGAUGUCACUGUUGUUCUUUGUGCUCAAGGAGCACAGCCCAUACUGUGCAGCAGUAGAGCGAUAGGCAUCCAUUGUCUUUUGCCUGGCGUGACUCAUCGGCAUCCUGCCAAGGAAUCCUGUCUCAUUCUGUGUGGCCAGCUAGAAGGGGCGGUCCGUCGCUCAGGCUUUGCAUCCCGGUCAUUUGCGGCCAAUCAUUUCCGCGGUCGUCAUCCAGGCCUUGUCAGCUCUCGUCUUCUGGGACCGCUCUUGUUUUGCAUCUUACUGGCACCCUUUCAGGGUUCUCUUCCCUGUACAGCCACAGCUCGGGGUCUUCCGUGGCCGGCUGCUUUGGCAUCAACUCUCCUGCCUUUGUCGGCACCUUUGCAUCAUGGACGCUGGUAUUUGACUCUCUUGUGGACUUGUCCAGAGCAUCAGAGCUGCACAGCUGUGGCAUUGUAGGACUUUCUGGCUAGCAAAGUCGUGUGUGUGUGUUUCUUUUUGUGUAGGACUCUGCUUUGUGUUUGUGUCUGUCCGUCCGUUUGGGGCUGGAGCUGCCUUGCCUGUGGGUGUUAGGAAUGGUAGGAUGUAGAGUGUGGCAGGGAUGGCUCAGAACAUUGAUCCGCCAGCCUGUGCGCUCCCCUUUAUGCUGUUUUGCAGAUGUGCUGCAGCAGCCCAUGUGCCCAAGGGAGACGAAGGAAGCGAGAGGCAUCUCCACUCUUAGGUUCAGGUGCAGAGCAGCAUUCCCAGUGGGCUGAAGGGAGACGGAGGAAGAAAGGGGCAUGGUCUUAGAAGAUGAGGAGCAAUGCGGAGGCCAGAUUACUCACACCCAGGCAGAAUACGGCAAGGUUUUGCAGAAAGCUGUGGAAAGAAGUUGAGUGCUGGCAAGAGCCUGAGCAGAUGCUGCGGGUGGCCCAUCCAGCCGCAGUGUUGGAGUUUGGAAGUGUUGUAGUGAAGGUG